AUGUCGGCGAGCUCGUUGGCGUCAUACUGCCCCAACAAGAGCGCCAUCGGGUCGGCGGCGCUGCUGGCGGCUGCAACCAUGGAUGAUGGAAAUUAUCAGAUUCAUGAAACUCGACUUGUUGAAGUUUCAGUCCAGCUUCACUCACCGCCUUUCAUUGUCAUCGAACGCCGCAUCCCCGGCCUACUCUCUCUUCACCCGUCAAUGCUCAUGUGCUUCGACCCUCCCCGACCCCUCCCAGCAAGCAGUAGAGUCUCUCUUGUUCGAGCUCCACCGGGCCGCGGCGGCGACGUCCAUGUUCGUUGGGCGGAGCACAAUGCUGGGGUUGAAAUCCACCAUGCUGCUACUGAUGAGGCUCUCCUCCUUUGUCCACCGGUUAUCGGACAACUGCCUAUGAGACAUCCACUGUCGUACACUCAUUUGAUCGUGCUGAUGCGCCUGGCUGUGGGAUGGCUUCUGCUGGGAUGCUUCGAGAUUUUUAGAACACUAAGGGCAUAUUUUGGCUUGAAUGCCGUUGGGUCGAUGAAGGUCAUGCAACAUGGCAGGUGUGCAUGUGUCCACUUGGAAGCUACUUGUUUCGUUUUGCUUACUCGUGGUUGUAUGUUGGCUUCGUGCUGGUGGGCUAUAGUUCUCCUGUCACAAAUCAUGGAGACAUUCAUCCUCGCAGAUUUCUGCUCCUGCUAUGUGAAAAGGGCAAUCCACAACAUGAAUAUACAUGUAGCAAUGGUGUGCCCUUGGAACGUCCUGCAUAAAUCAUGUGCUGCUAUGUACGUCAUGAUGCUUCCUCCUGUUCAUCCAGGGGCUAUAAAUGUUAAGGAUUGCCUGACCGCGACAACUAUUGGGUUCCGUCUCACCAUGAAGUGUCGCAAUAAGGCCAUUGAUCCAGUUGUUGGGUAUGCACAUUGUGGAAUGGUUGUAGCAACUCGCUGGACUGCGAAUCAGGCCAUUCCCUUCCUCAGCAGAGCAGUCGGGCAAUUUUUGGACUACAAAAUUAGAGUUGAAGAGCAUUUGUUAGCUGACAGAGCAUUUGUUGUGAUUGUGUUGGAAGUGCCGUGUAUGGCAAAGGUAAAUUGUGACACAGAGAGUAGUAUUUAUUUGUUCGAGUUGGGUGGAGAAGAGACCUCAUUAGUGUAUCCUAGAGUGCAUGGAGAAAUUGAAGGCAAUUCAAUUGUCGGCUCUGUCAUCAUUGUAGAGUAG
rnacentral:rRNA from 1 species